rnacentral:rRNA from 1 species
GUCCACGCCGUAAACGAUGAGUGCUUGGUGUAGCGGGUAUCGACCCCUGCUGUGCCGAAGUCAACACAUUAAGCACUCCGCCUGGGGAGUACGGUCGCAAGACUGAAACUCAAAGGAAUUGACGGGGGCCCGCACAAGCGGUGGAGCAUGUGGUUUAAUUCGAAGCAACGCGCAGAACCUUACCUGGGUUUGAACUUCAGAGGAAAGGCUCAGAGAUGAGUCCCUCCCUUCGGGGAUCUCUGGAGAGGUGCUGCAUGGCUGUCGU